rnacentral:rRNA from 1 species
GAUGAACGCUGGCGGCGUGCCUAAUACAUGCAAGUCGAGCGAACGGACGAGAAGCUUGCUUCUCUGAUGUUAGCGGCGGACGGGUGAGUAACACGUGGAUAACCUACCUAUAAGACUGGGAUAACUUCGGGAAACCGGAGCUAAUACCGGAUAAUAUUUUGAACCGCAUGGUUCAAAAGUGAAAGACGGUCUUGCUGUCACUUAUAGAUGGAUCCGCGCUGCAUUAGCUAGUUGGUAAGGUAACGGCUUACCAAGGCAACGAUGCAUAGCCGACCUGAGAGGGUGAACGCCCACACUGGAACUGAGACACGGUCCAGACUCCUACGGGAGGCAGCAGUAGGGAAUCUUCCGCAAUGGGCGAAAGCCUGACGGAGCAACGCCGCGUGAGUGCUGAAGGUCUUCGGAUCGUAAAACUCUGUUAUUAGGGAAGAACAUAUGUGUAAGUAACUGUGCACAUCUUGACGGUACCUAAUCAGAAAGCCACGGCUAACUACGUG